CAGGAUGAACGCUAGCUACAGGCUUAACACAUGCAAGUCGAGGGGCAGCAUGUAGGUAGCUUGCUACCUAUGAUGGCGACCGGCGCACGGGUGCGUAACGCGUAUCCAAUCUACCCAUGGCUCGGGGGAUAGCCUUGCGAAAGUAAGAUUAACCCCCGAUGUACUGCGGGGAGGGCCUCCUUCCUGCAGUAAAGGCUUGCCGGCGAUGGAUGGGGGAUGCGUCCGAUUAGCUUGACGGCGGGGUAACGGCCCACCGUGGCGACGAUCGGUAGGGGUUCUGAGAGGAAGGUCCCCCACACUGGAACUGAGACACGGUCCAGACUCCUACGGGAGGCAGCAGUGAGGAAUAUUGGUCAAUGGUCGUAAGACUGAACCAGCCAAGUAGCGUGAAGGGGAAGACGGCCCUACGGGUUGUAAACCUCUUUUUCAGGGGGAAUAAAGUGCGGCACGCGUGCCGCUUUGCAUGUACCCUGCGAAUAAGCAUCGGCUAAUUCCGUGCCAGCCGCUGC
rnacentral:rRNA from 1 species